UUGCCAGCCCUGGGGAGUGAAUCCCUUUAUUUAUCCAGAGCAAAUGCAGCCUGGUUAGUGGCAGAGCGAGCUCCCCCACACUGCCCUGCCCUGGUGUUUCAUCCCACGGGUUCACAGAGAGAGGGCCCAGCCCUGAGGCAAUGACUCACCAGUGCUUUCCUGAGUUCCCUUCA
rnacentral:sRNA from 1 species